AACCUACAUUUAAAAACAAAAACAAAAAACAAACAAAAGACAUGAGAGUGCAGGAUCUUGUCCACAAAAGAAAGAAUCAGGAGGGAAAGGGAGAGAAAGGCUGCAAAGGUGGCCUUUUAGAACAAACGCAAAUUGUUCAACGACGCAGAGUGAAGACGGCCAGCAGGACGGCUCUCCAGCCAGGGGUCCACUCCUCUUGCCGUGUUUUGUUUUCUCUAUUCACUUCUUCUUGAAGAGCUACAAAAAAGCACUUAGGUUCUUCCCCUAUUAAAAAUGUCUCCAAACCAGA